rnacentral:rRNA from 1 species
AUCCACGCUGGCGGCGUGCCUCAGACCUGCAAGUCGAACGAUUAAACUUCCCUUCGGGGACGAUUUAAAGUGGCGCACGGGUGAGUAACACGUAGGUAAUGUACCUUUGGGUGGGGAAUAACUUAGGGAAACUUAAGCUAAUACCGCAUAAUGCAGCGGCUCCUUCGGGAGACAGUUGUUAAAGGUUUAUCGCCUAAAGAGCAGCCUGCGGCAGAUUAGCUAGUUGGUAAGGUAACGGCUUACCAAGGCUACGAUCUGUAUCCGACCUGAGAGGGUGGUCGGACACACUGACACUGAGUAGCGGGUCAGACUCCUACGGGAGGCAGCAGUCGGGAAUUUUGGGCAAUGGGCGAAAGCCUGACCCAGCAACGCCGCGUGAAGGAUGAAGUCUUUCGGGAUGUAAACUUCGUAAGAAUAGGAAGAAUAAAUGACGGUACUAUUUGUAAGGUCCGGCUAACUACGUG